AGAAUAGUAAUUAAAUUUAUAAUAUAACUUUGUCAAAGUUAAAUUGUCUAAAGACUUAUUCUU
rnacentral:tRNA from 1 species